rnacentral:rRNA from 1 species
UACAGAGGGGGCAAGCGUUGUUCGGAAUUACUGGGCGUAAAGGGCGCGUAGGCGGCCUGUUAAGUCGAACGUGAAAUCCCCGGGCUCAACCCGGGAACUGCGUCCGAUACUGGCAGGCUUGAAUCCGGGAGAGGGAUGUGGAAUUCCAGGUGUAGCGGUGAAAUGCGUAGAUAUCUGGAGGAACACCGGUGGCGAAGGCGGCAUCCUGGACCGGCAUUGACGCUGAGGAGCGAAAGCCAGGGGAGCAAACGGG